CUACGGGGGGCUCCAGUGGGGAAUAUUGGACAAUGGGGGAAACCCUGAUCCAGCAAUGCCGCGUGUGUGAAGAAGGCCUGCGGGUUGUAAAGCACUUUCGGUUGGGAGGACUGCUUCUAGCACUAAUAUUGUUGGAAGUUGACGUUACCUUCAGAAGAAGCACCGGCUAGCUCCGUGCCAGCAGCCGCGGUAAUACGGAGGGGUGCAAGCGUUAAUCGGAAUUACUGGGCGUAAAGCGCGCGUAGGCGGCUAGAUCAGUCGGGUGUGAAAGCCCCGGGCUUAACCUGGGAACUGCAUCCGAUACUGUCUAGCUUGAGUACAGGAGAGGAGAGUGGAAUUCCACAUGUAGCGGUGAAAUGCGUAGAUAUGUGGAGGAACACCAAUGGCGAAGGCAGCUCUCUGGCCUGAUACUGACGCUGAGGUGCGAAAGCGUGGGGAGCAAACAGGAUUAGAUACCCUAGUAGUC
rnacentral:rRNA from 1 species